rnacentral:misc_RNA from 1 species
CGGGACACAAUUUGCAUUCAUUAGCAGGCAUACAUAUUAAUCCUUGCAUAUCUUUCGUUGAAUCCAAUACAAACAUGAUCCGCUCCUAGCCUCAAACAGAUGGAGGAAAGGAGUGCAAGAUGUACAAGUCAAAUCUCAUCCACAACUCAUGAGCUGUGCCUUGAAUAUACAGCAAUUACUAGUUUGAAGCCCCUUCUGAUGUUUUAGAAGCAGAAACUCCUGCCCUUGCAUCUUUUGAAACCUUUAAUGACCUCAAUUUGGACGACCUCAAUGAAUGUAUCAAAGGAGCCUCUUCCUCUUCCUCCUCAUCUUGCUUCUCUUCUUCCUGUGCAUCUUCAUGAUCAGAUCCACUAAUUGAAUCUUCCUCUUCACUUGAACUGUGUUCAUUGAAGAGUCUCUUUCCUUCUAUGUUCUGCCGCUUCCUUGGGCGACCCCUGCGUCUUACAGCAGUCCCAUCUUUCUCAUCUAGCAAACCUUCAUUCUUUGCAUACUUUUCUCGCAAGCUUUCCACAAAUGAGUUAUAGGGGCGCCAACCACUGGGAUCUUCAUCAGUGUUUAUAUUCACUGUUCGGCUUUGGACAUCUUUUAGAACUUCCAGGACAUCAGGUGUAGGAAGUUUGGAGACAAAAUGAAGCACUGCACUUUCCAGAAAAGACAGCUGUUUCGGAGCGUCUAUGAAAGCAUAUUCAAUACCUUCCUUGACAAUUUUUAAGAUGUCUUCUCUAUGCUUGUUCCGAGCAGCACCCAUGAACGUUCCAGAAAGUCGAGCAGCCAGAUCCUUACACUCCUGAAAAGAUUUUCCUGUGAAGGCUCCACCAUUGCUUCUAGAAAGUUCCUCCAAAUGCCAGUAAUGGGCCCUUUUCAAUGCUUCUAAAAAGAUAUUGGAAAUAUCAUCUUUUUUCUUUAAAACAGUGAUUAGAUGCUUAACAAUCUCUGC